rnacentral:tmRNA from 1 species
GGGGAUGCCUUGGUUUCGACGUGAUUGAAGAGCUUUUGAUUGCAAGUCGUAAAUCAAAACGUAAAUUGAUAAUUAAAUAUAAACGCAAAUAACAAUAGCGAAGCAAACUUCGCACUAGCUGCCUAGUCAAUAGGAUAGCAAUGAAUAUUAGGCUUGUCGUUGGUUUAAUAUUCGUUUCAUAAUUAAACGACAACUGAUAUAACAAAGCUUUGAGUUAUAUUUAGUACUAUGAAGCUAGCAUAAAAGCUUUUUGUAAGUUUUUUAUUUUUUAUGCGAAAUCUUAAAACUUAAUAAGCUUGUAGAUGUCUUAAGUGAGGCUAUCACGGACACGAGUUCGAUUCUCGUCAUCUCCACCA